UCCGAGUCCGGCAGACAAAGUUGGCCAGCCCCACCCCCCAAGGCUAUAGCCCACCCGUUUUUGUGGCCUUUUUCCGCUGGACGAACUUGGCGCCCCGGCCUUCGGGCGGUUAUUUUUGGGCGCGGCUUUGUCCGCGGCUUAUUUUUGGCACAUGGACGCCCCUCGCAAAGUCUCGCGGCAUUCCGAGUCCGGCGGACAAAGUCGGCCAGCCCCACCCCCCAAGGCUAUAGCCCACCCGUUUUUGUGGCCUUUUUCCGCUGGACGAACUUGGCGCCCCGGCUUUCGGCGGUUAAUUUUGGGCGCGCCUUUGCCCGCGGCCUAUUUUUGGCACACGGAGGCCCCUCGUAAAGUCUCGCGGCAUUCCGAGUCCGGCGGAUGAAGUCGGCCAGCCCCACCCCCAAAGGCUAUAGCCCACCCGUUUUUGUGGCUUUUUCCGCUGGACGAACUUGGCGCCCCGGCCUUUGGGCGGUUAAUUUUGGGCGCGGCUUUGCCCGCUUCCUAUUUUUGGCACACGGAGGCCCCUCGCAAAGUCUCGCGGCAUUCCGAGUCCGGCGGACGAAGUUGGCAAGCCCCACCCCCCAN
rnacentral:lncRNA from 1 species